AUCCCCUGGUUCUCAGCAUUUAAGACCAGCAUUAUUAUAUAUUCCUGGCCUGCACGUGCACAAAGAGAGGUGGCAUGGGGGUGGGAAAGUCCACCCGCCCCCCAAGGCAGCCCAUCACCAUCAAUCAGGGCUUUUAUUCAUUCGCAGACAUCCAAGUCUCCCCAAGUAGCAUUGUCUGCGUGUCUCCCUCCUCCUCCUCUGACUUUCAAGUUCUUUUAAAGGGUCCAUUAAGCCACCGGAUCGAUCCUUACACUACUCAGUUAACAGCAGAGAGAAAGCUCCCCACAGUGGGGAUGCACUUUUUACACUCAAGGCGAUGCGGGGAAGGGAAGGGUGGGGAACCAAAAAAACAAAAAAGCCUUUACAUCUCCCCAUACCACCCAGGAAAAAAAGUUGAGACAUCACAGCACCCGCCGCCAGUGGGAAAUGAAGAUCGUUGCAGGGGAAACAAAGUCUGCUCGCAUCGGGGAAGAGGAGCGAGGGAGCCAUGCCAGUUUUCGCGAAACAGGAGCAGAAAAGCGCAGGAGAAGUUCUUCGCAGAGGAAAGGUGAUCGCGCCCGCAGCGAAAACCCAGCAGCUACCUCUCUGGAAUUUGUGACAUACCAAAGUUAUCAAUUAUUUAUGAACACACCUAUAGAUCCUAAAAGUGGAGCAGUUGUGUGAAUGCAGCCACACAUGAUAGGGUGACUUUUUAAAAACCGCAUAAAUAUGGUCAUCAACAAUCUCAUCACAAGGGAUUCAUAUAAAAGACUUCUACAAAAGGAACACAGGAAGCUUGCCUUAUAGAGUCAGAGCACUGGUCCAUCUAGUUCAAGCCUCAGUUGGAGAUGCCUGGAAUCAAAUCCAAGACCUUCUGCUACAAUUCUUUGAGCUAUGGUCCUUCUCAUAAACUUCUAUUCAGCUUACUUUCCACCCUGAUGUCAUAGUAAUGUGGAUUUUCACACUCCUGCCCCACAUUAUUGGUGAAGAGGGCAGAGGAACGGGCAGAAGAACAAGGGCUUAGGCUUGGAUGGUUUUCUUGGCAACCUCUCUGCACUGGUCUGAGCCCAAACUACGCUGAUGAAGAUAAGGGUACCUAUGAAUAAUUCAUCAUGGAAUACUCAUAUUUUAAUCUAGCAGCACAUUCCUCUCUGAAAUCUUCAAUGAAACACCACCCUGAUAAGGAAAAAAUUGCUUUCAUCUCAAGGGAGCAAAAAAUCUAUAUUUAAUAUGGUGAAAUGAAACAUCCAAUUGAUUAUUCAUAGGUUCCACAGUAACUAGUUACAUACAAGUGAGGAUUUAAUGUUCUUAUUUUACAUACAGAUUAUGUACGAAAGUGCGAUAAUUCUGACCUUGUGUCAAACUUUUUGAAUCUAUAAGGCUCUUCAGCACAUAUACUCCCAUUAAGAAAACCUGUAUACCAAAUUGUAAUGUAUUUUCUUACAUCAAGGCUACCUGUGUUAUGUAGCUCCUGUUUUUUAAAAAAUAGUUGCAGUUACAGCUUCCUUCUCUUUAUAUUCUUGUGUUCAUUGAAACCGCAUGAGUUGUGAGGUCAUCUGGCUCUCCAGAGCAUGCAUUCUGUAAAUAUAAUGAUGAGGAACAGCCCCUUUGCCUGGCAUCUGGGAAGCUGUCAUUCCCAAUGCUUUUGUCAUUCCUAAUACUUUUGUCUACUUGAGCCCUGCUCAGGUAUUUCUCUCCAGUUAUGGAGACAGUUGGCUUGUGCCCCUGCUGUCACAUCACACACAGGACCCUCUCCAAUGGGGAAAGUACUGGAGGGGAGGGGGCUGCCCAAAGUCCAUAGGCUGUCUUGUGAAUAGAACACUGAGUUCCAGCGCAUGGAAACACCCUCUGCACAUUCUGGGGGAAAAUAAAAAUCCCCUUUUAGACUUUCCUUCAGCACACUGACAACCAGGGCCGUCUUUACCCGGGGGUGCAAGGGGAGCAGGGCACCCAGGCA